rnacentral:lncRNA from 1 species
GUUUUAAGGCAUGUAUGGUACUCUGUGAUAAACAAGACUUCAAUUCUGUUAGAAUGAUGUCUCCAAACUGAUAUUAUAACUGAGUCCUCAGUGAGCCAACCCUGUCUCUCCGUCAUGCCAAUACUUCAGAAUGAUGGGGUGUGUAAUGAAACCACUUAAUUUCAUGGACAUAAACAUUGCUGGACUUCCUUUGUUGUGAAAUGACUUUCUCGAUUAGAAGUAAUGCUAUGUGGACUCUUAUCACCAUGAAUGAGGCAUUCUUUCCAUCCGCAGAUGCUAGUGCUGAAGAGGCAUUAUCACCAGAAAGACAGUGCUGCAUUCAGAAUGUGUGGCUGUUCCCAAAGAGGAGGACUACAAGACAUGCUGAAAAUACUGCCUUUAAGAAUGAGGAAACCACAGCUGUGAAGUGAGAAUGAAUAUUAAGGAACUACUUACAUCCAUGAGCAGAAGUUACAGCUGAGGUGUUUGGGUCCAGAGGAAAAACAGUCACUUGGAAGCAAACAAAAUAAGGAUUUGAAAUGAAGAUGGUACCUACAGGGAGAUCCAAGGUCUGACACACAGGUAAGUUUGUACCUCAAGUUUCUUGUACAUUUAAAAAAAUGUAAUUAUAUUAACUGUGUGCUUAUUAGGAGCAAUACUUUCAAGAUACUGUUCCUCCAGGCAUUUCUUUAGCACACAGACAUCCAGAGGAUCUGGGGACACUGUAAACACUCAUGUCUUAAGACCCCAUCCCAGGACUCUGAUUCCUUAGGUCUUAUUAUCUGUGUUUUUAACAUGAUGCUUGGGCAGUUUGUCCCGUGCGUGGGUGCAUCUACAACCACGUUUUGAAAAAUACUCCUCUAGAUACAUUGACCUAAAAGUCCCAAACCUUGUCCCUUUUACUCCUUAAGGAGCCUUUUCCUUAGGAGCUUUGACCAAAAUGUGUAUGGCUAUUAGAGAGUGGUUCAAAAUCAAGCACAUGCCUAUCUUGGGAACUUGGUCUUUAAUCCCAGCUAUCUUGAUGUUAUUCCUAUGCAUUUCAGCUAAACCACAUUCUUCAUGAUCUAAUUAUAACCAGACACUGAUGACUAUAAUGAAAGCCUCUACAUAUCUAACCAUAUUCAUCACUGUCUGGUUACGAGAGUGUUACUAAUUCCAAGUGGAACCAUCCAUCAACAUGGUUCUUUACUUUUCUUUCAGACAAUCCAUAAGGGCAAGCUAUUUUCAUCUAAGAGCAAAUAAAAUGAAUCUAUAGGACA